GUUUGCGAAAAUGUAUGGAAAACUAAAACAAUAUAAGAAUCCAAUACCUUUUGGACACGCAAGGGACGGAUAUGCAAAGCACUACAAACGCAAGAAAUCGAAAUGUGGACCAACAGGCACGUUUGACAUCGAUAUGCGCGGAACGGGACUAAAGGUUGACGACAGUCUUACUUGGAUUACUCUAGGACUUUACCCAUAUGGAGAAUGGUCCAGAGGACAUGCAAAUGCUACAGUGCAUCUUCGAUGCGGUGGAUAUUUCGGCUGGUGUUUACCGAUGGAGCUGAUGACGUUUGUGCCAAAUGCAAAUGACGUAUAUUAAAAUCUGAAAACCUUUUAAACCACAGAGCAGUGCAAGAAGAUAUUAUCUACUAUAAAGAACUAUUACGAAUGUUAUGACCAAACAUACCCACAAAACCCCACAUACAGACACAAAA